rnacentral:rRNA from 1 species
GAUGAACGCUGGCGGCGUGCCUAAUACAUGCAAGUCGAGCGAACGGACGAGAAGCUUGCUUCUCUGAUGUUAGCGGCGGACGGGUGAGUAACACGUGGAUAACCUACCUAUAAGACUGGGAUAACUUCGGGAAACCGGAGCUAAUACCGGAUAAUAUUUUGAACCGCAUGGUUCAAAAGUGAAAGACGGUCUUGCUGUCACUUAUAGAUGGAUCCGCGCUGCAUUAGCUAGUUGGUAAGGUAACGGCUUACCAAGGCAACGAUGCAUAGCCGACCUGAGAGGGUGAUCGGCCACACUGGAACUGAGACACGGUCCAGACUCCUACGGGAGGCAGCAGUAGGGAAUCUUCCGCAAUGGGCGAAAGCCUGACGGAGCAACGCCGCGUGAGUGAUGAAGGUCUUCGGAUCGUAAAACUCUGUUAUUAGGGAUGAACAUAUGUGUAGGUAACUGUGCACAUCUUGACGGUACCUAAUCAGAAAGCCACGGCUAACUACGUG